rnacentral:rRNA from 1 species
UACGUAGGUGGCGAGCGUUGUCCGGAUUUACUGGGCGUAAAGGGAGCGUAGGCGGACUUUUAAGUGAGAUGUGAAAUACUCGGGCUCAACUUGAGUGCUGCAUUUCAAACUGGAAGUCUAGAGUGCAGGAGAGGAGAAUGGAAUUCCUAGUGUAGCGGUGAAAUGCGUAGAGAUUAGGAAGAACAUCAGUGGCGAAGGCGAUUCUCUGGACUGUAACUGACGCUGAGGCUCGAAAGCGUGGGGAGCAAACAGG